UCUACGGGUGGCUGCAGUCGAGAAUUUUUCUCAAUGGGGGCAACCCUGAAGGAGCGACGCCGCGUGGAGGAUGAAGGCUUUCGGGUUGUAAACUCCUGUCAUUUGAGAACAAGUGUCGGCAAGUAACUACUGCCGACUUGAUAGUAUCAGAAGAGGAAGAGACGGCUAACUCUGUGCCAGCAGCCGCGGUAAUACAGAGGUCUCAAGCGUUGUUCGGAUUCAUUGGGGUAAAGGGUGCGUAGGUGGCGAGGUAAGUCAGGUGUGAAAUUUCGGAGCUUAACUCCGAAACUGCAUUUGAUACUGCCUUGCGUGAGGACUGGAGAGGAGACUGGAAUUCACGGUGUAGCAGUGAAAUGCGUAGAGAUCGUGAGGAAGACCAGUGGCGAAGGCGGGUCUCUGGACAGUUCCUGACACUGAGGCACGAAGGCCAGGGGAGCAAACGGGAUUAGAUACCCUUGUANUC
rnacentral:rRNA from 1 species